rnacentral:rRNA from 1 species
GACAGAGGUGCCGAGCGUUAGGCGGAAUUACUGGGCGUAAAGCGCGUGUAGGUGGUGGGACAAGUCUGCUGUGAAAGCCCCGGGCUUAACCUGGGAAUGGCCGUUGAAACUGGCGAACUGGAGUGUGGCAGAGGGGGGUGGAAUUCCGCGUGUAGCAGUGAAAUGCGUAGAGAUGCGGAGGAACACCGAUGGCGAAGGCAGCCCCCUGGGCUAACACUGACGCUCAGGCACGAAAGCGUGGGGAGCAAACAGG